AUUCCAGCUCCAAGAGCGUAUAUUAAAGUUGUUGCAGUUAAAAAGCUCGUAGUUGGAUUUCUGGUCUGAUGCGCCUGGCCCGCUGCCGUUAGGUAUGUGAGUGCCGGUGCGCGUUUACCAUCCUUCCAGAGAACGCUUCUACCAUUUAUUUGGACGGAUGUUGUCUUCUGGAUCUUUUACUUUGAAAAAAUUAGAGUGUUUAAAGCAGGCCUUUGCCGUGAAUACAUUAGCGUGGAAUAAUAAUCUAGGACUUCGGUUCUAUUUUGUUGGUUUCUAGUACUGAAGUAAUGGUUGAUAGGGAUAGUUGGGGGUGCUAGUAUUGGCCGGCCAGAGGUGAAAUUCUUGGAUUCGGUCAAGACUAACUUAUGCGAAAGCAUUCACCAAGGAUGUCUUCAUCA
rnacentral:rRNA from 1 species